rfam:Chelonia mydas contig207103, whole genome shotgun sequence.
UGGCAUAAACCCGUAGAUCCGAUCUUGUGGUAAAGUAUACUGCACAAGCUCGCUUCUAUGGGUCUGUGUCAU